rnacentral:rRNA from 1 species
CUACGGGAGGCAGCAGUGGGGAAUAUUGGACAAUGGGCGAAAGCCUGAUCCAGCCAUGCCGCGUGUGUGAAGAAGGCCUUUUGGUUGUAAAGCACUUUAAGCGAGGUGGAGGAGCCUCAGGUUAAUACCCUGGAUGCUUGGACGUUACUCGCAGAAUAAGCACCGGCUAACUCUGUGCCAGCAGCCGCGGUAAU